rnacentral:rRNA from 1 species
GAAUGGGGAAACCCAGUGUGAUUCGUCACACUAUCAUUAACUGAAUCCAUAGGUUAAUGAGGCGAACCGGGGGAACUGAAACAUCUAAGUACCCCGAGGAAAAGAAAUCAACCGAGAUUCCCCCAGUAGCGGCGAGCGAACGGGGAGGAGCCCAGAGCCUGAAUCAGCAUGUGUGUUAGUGGAAGCGUCUGGAAAGGCGCGCGAUACAGGGUGACAGCCCCGUACACAAAAGCGCAUGUGCUGUGAGCUCGAUGAGUAGGGCGGGACACGUGGUAUCCUGUCUGAAUAUGGGGGGACCAUCCUCCAAGGCUAAAUACUCCUGACUGACCGAUAGUGAACCAGUACCGUGAGGGAAAGGCGAAAAGAACCCCGGCGAGGGGAGUGAAAAAGAACCUGAAACCGUGUACGUACAAGCAGUGGGAGCACCCUUUG